AUUGAACGCUGGCGGCAGGCCUAACACAUGCAAGUCGAGCGGGAACUUCGGUUCUAGCGGCGGACGGGUGAGUAAUGCGUAGGAAGCUACCCGAUAGAGGGGGAUACCAGUUGGAAACGACUGGUAAUACCGCAUAAAGUCUACGGACCAAAGUGUGGGACCUUCGGGCCACAUGCUAUCGGAUGCGCCUAAGUGGGAUUAGCUAGUUGGUGAGGUAAUGGCUCACCAAGGCGACGAUCCCUAGCUGGUUUGAGAGGAUGAUCAGCCGCACUGGAACUGAGACACGGUCCAGACUCCUACGGGAGGCAGCAGUGGGGAAUAUUGGACAAUGGGCGCAAGCCUGAUCCAGCCAUGCCGCGUGUGUGAAGAAGGCCUUCGGGUUGUAAAGCACUUUCAGCGAGGAGGAAGGGUUGUGUGUUAAUAGUACACAGCCUUGACGUUACUCGCAGAAGAAGCACCGGCUAACUCUGUGCCAGCCGCCGCAGUAAAAC
rnacentral:rRNA from 1 species